AACGUAGGUUCCGAGCGUUAUCCGGAUUUACUGGGCGUAAAGCGCGCGUAGGUGGCCCUGUAAGUCCGUUGUGAAAGUCAAAGGCUCAACCUUUGAAAGCCGAUGGAUACUGCAGGACUAGAGUACGGAAGAGGCGAGUGGAAUUCCUGGUGUAGCGGUGGAAUGCGCAGAUAUCAGGAGGAACACCAAUAGCGAAGGCAGCUCGCUGGGACGUUACUGACACUGAGGCGCGAAAGCGUGGGGAGCGAACAGG
rnacentral:rRNA from 1 species